CUCAUAUUUAUAUUCCUUAAAUUUUCAUUGUAUACUUCCUCUUCUUCUUCGUUUGUUUUCUUCUUUUCUUUUGUAUCA
rnacentral:ribozyme from 14 species